rnacentral:lncRNA from 1 species
CAAGGAAUAAUUUUGUACACUACACACCAUGGGAGCUGACUUGCUGUUCAUCCGUUCGCCCCGUCCACCGAGUUGAUGACAAGCUUAACAAACAAGUUCGUCGUCAUCGCUCCCUUGACAGGUAAAACUCGUUUUGUUUUUGUUCUUUCUCUCCACUGUGCUCGUUUUGUUUGCAGCAAGAGCUCAUCUCACCGGACGCACUCGAAACCCCGGCAAAUUCCCAGCCAGAUGACAAACAAAAGAAUGCACACCGCUACGUCCACCAGCAGCACCAACUUGACAGUCCUCCACCA